GAUGAACGCUGGCGGCGUGCCUAAUACAUGCAAGUCGAGCGAACAGAUGAGGAGCUUGCUCCUCUGACGUUAGCGGCGGACGGGUGAGUAACACGUGGAUAACCUACCUAUAAGACUGGGAUAACUUCGGGAAACCGGAGCUAAUACCGGAUAAUAUAUUGAACCGCAUGGUUCAAUAGUGAAAGACGGUUUUGCUGUCACUUAUAGAUGGAUCCGCGCCGCAUUAGCUAGUUGGUAAGGUAACGGCUUACCAAGGCGACGAUGCGUAGCCGACCUGAGAGGGUGAUCGGCCACACUGGAACUGAGACACGGUCCAGACUCCUACGGGAGGCAGCAGUAGGGAAUCUUCCGCAAUGGGCGAAAGCUUGACGGAGCAACGCCGCGUGAGUGAUGAAGGUCUUCGGAUCGUAAAACUCUGUUAUGAGGGAAGAACAAAUGUGUAAGUAACUAUGCACGUCUUGACGGUACCUAAUCAGAAAGCCACGGCUAACUACGUG
rnacentral:rRNA from 1 species